rnacentral:lncRNA from 1 species
ACUUUGGGAAGCUGAGGCAGGAGGAUCACAUAAGGCCAGGAGUUUGAGACCAGCUUGGCCAACAUGACAAAACCCCGUCUUUACUAAAAAUACAAAAAUUAGCCAGGUGUGGUGGUGCCUACCUGUAAUCCCAGCUGCUUGGGAGGCUAAGGUGGGAGAAUUGUUUGAACCUGGGAGGUGGAGGUUGCGGUAAGCAGUAAGUUGCAGUUGCACUGCACUCCAGCCUGGGAGACAGAGCCAGACUCCAUCUCAAAAAAAUUAAAAAAAAUAAAUAUUGACAGGCUAUGUGGUUUGUCUGAGAGUUUUUUCAAAUGUCAUCAUAAUCUCCAAAAGAUUUUCCAGUAUAUUUAUUGAAAAAAUCUACGUAGAACCAUUGAUGAGGCUGAUGGGGCAAUGCAAUGUUCUUCUCUGCUUGAAGACGUCUACUUGUGAGGGACCUCUGGAAGAAGAGGAAGAAGACUUAGAUUUAGUCCCAGGUCAUCCACUCUUCAGACCUAUGAACUUGGACAAGUUAUCUAACCAUUCUAGCUGCACUUCCAGGGUUCUU